GUGCCCAGCACUGCUUAACUUUCGUGAUCGGACGAGAACGAGUGCAUUCAGUGCGGUAUGAACGUUGGCUGAAAUCAGUGUCUUAUUAUCCGAGUUUUCAAUAUCUCUAUUCUAAUUUCAUUUAUUCCUCAUCUUAAUAUCGCAUGAGUGUAAUGAUACAAUUUCUUUCAAUUUUUUCAUUUUAUUCACUUUCACUCUCUGAACUUUGUUCUCUUUGCCACUAUGCGAUCAUUAAAAAACGAUAUCCCAGAAAAAUAAUGUUUAACGAGUGAAGAAUAGGCAGUGGAACAUCAAACAUAUUAUGUAAAUGUUUUCUCAUUAACGGGAAAUACUGUGUAAAAUUAUUUCUUACAUAAGUAUUUAAAAUGGAAGAAUCAGGGAAGGAAAUUAAUUUUCAUUAUGAGAAUAGCGAAGAACUCUUGCAAUUAACACGUUAUUCAAAACAAGAAAUUACGAACGCUUUGGAGAUUUGUCGCUGUAUACUGAUAACGCAGAAUUUUAUAGAAAGGCUACCUAACGAUACGACAGAUAGAAAACCACGAUUGAGUGGCAAAUAUCAAAGACCGUAAUAAAGGUUUUGAAAGACUUUAUUUUUGAAAACGAAAAAGACCUAUAUUUAGAAAAUGAAGAUAUUCCUGAUGAUCUCCCUCUAUAAUUGGCGAUGAAGGAGAAGAUUCGCCAAUUAAUAGUAAAGAAGAAGAUUCACCAGUUCAUCAUCAGCAGCCGACAGUUUCCAAGUAUAUGAGCCUAAAAAAUUCAGAAUUUCAAAUUUUGUAUCUCUUGAUAAGAAACUCAAGAUUAUUAAUAUUGCCAGACAACACCCGAAAUGGAGUCUGCAAACAUUGCAAUGUCUUGGAUGUCAAGAACUUCGGCGGAAGAACUACUAACAAUGGUGGAUAAAAGAAAUAGAAGAAGGAGUUGGAACUAAGGAAACAUAUGAAUACAUUAACAAAUAUACGUAUGAUCGCAGAAGCUACAAAUGACAAAAAACCUGUGACAACUAGUGACAGAAUACUGCAACAGUGAGCAUUAGCUGCUGCAUUGCCGUUCUAAUCGAACAGCUUUCAUUUUACAGCAUCUGAAUCAUGGGUAAUAAUUUAAAAGUACUCGUAGAUUGCCCAACGGACUAUUACACGAUACAUAAGAUCAAAAAAUGAAUUAAAUCUAUCGAAAAUUUUACAAGAAGCGGAGAAAUUUUUGUGGGUUUGGUUUUAUGUUUGUGUAUUUAGUUUUAUGUUUGUAGAUUUGACGUUAGGUUAUAUGUACCUUAGUGUGUAUGAAAGUCGAGCGAAGGCAAUGGCAUGAGAGCAUUGCGCAGUAGUAUGCCUUUGUCCAAGAGCGAGGAAACAAGUGUCCAUAUAUGCGAGUCAGAGUUAACACUUAGCCGACCGAUCGGGGAGAUCUCCCCACUUUAAAGUAAGUCGGUGCACAACCAAUCGGGGAGAUCUCCCCACUUUAAAGUAAGUCGGUGCACGACCGAUCGGGGAGAUCUCCCACUUUGACUUUAGCGACGCAUUUCUCUUUUUCUGUUAUCAGUUACUUGAUCUGAAAUUGUUCGCAAUUACUUACGAACUGUUUCUAUAAAGCACAAUAUAUAAUUGAUAAUAUCACUCGCGUUGCGAAAAAUGCGCGCUGGACAGCGUAGUUUGAUUUGCCCGAGCGCGGUGGAAAUCGUACAGUUCACUGUGGCGCGCGCGGUCGGCUAAGUGUUAAGAUAGUAAUACUAACGAGUGAGAGUGUGAUUUCAAAUGCGAGAGUUGUUAUACAUAUUGUUCUACUUUCUUAUAUAUUAUACGUGUUAACUAAAA